GAUGAACGCUGGCGGCGUGCUUAACACAUGCAAGUCGAACGAAGCACUUUAUUUGAUUUCCUUCGGGACUGAUUAUUUUGUGACUGAGUGGCGGACGGGUGAGUAACGCGUGGGUAACCUGCCUUGUACAGGGGGAUAACAGUUGGAAACGGCUGCUAAUACCGCAUAAGCGCACAGCAUCGCAUGAUGCAGUGUGAAAAACUCCGGUGGUAUAAGAUGGACCCGCGUUGGAUUAGCUAGUUGGUGAGGUAACGGCCCACCAAGGCGACGAUCCAUAGCCGACCUGAGAGGGUGACCGGCCACAUUGGGACUGAGACACGGCCCAAACUCCUACGGGAGGCAGCAGUGGGGAAUAUUGCACAAUGGGCGAAAGCCUGAUGCAGCGACGCCGCGUGAGCGAAGAAGUAUUUCGGUAUGUAAAGCUCUAUCAGCAGGGAAGAUAAUGACGGUACCUGACUAAGAAGCACCGGCUAAAUACGUGCCAGCAGCCGCGGUAAUACGUAUGGUGCAAGCGUUAUCCGGAUUUACUGGGUGUAAAGGGAGCGCAGGCGGUGCGGCAAGUCUGAUGUGAAAGCCCGGGGCUCAACCUCGGUACUGCAUUGGAAACUGUCGUACUAGAGUGCCGGAGGGGUAAGCGGAAUUCCUAGUGUAGCGGUGAAAUGCGUAGAUAUUAGGAGGAACACCAGUGGCGAAGGCGGCUUACUGGACGAUAACUGACGCUGA
rnacentral:rRNA from 1 species